rnacentral:tRNA from 1 species
CGGGGCGUGGCGCAGUUUGGCUAGCGCAUACCCUUGGGGUGGGUAAGGUCGCAGGUUCAAAUCCUGUCGCUCCGACCA